rnacentral:rRNA from 1 species
UGGCGAACGGGUGAGUAACACGUGGGUGAUCUGCCCUGCACUCUGGGAUAAGCCUGGGAAACUGGGUCUAAUACCGGAUAGGACCAUGCUUUAGUGUGUGUGGUGGAAAGUUUUUUCGGUGUAGGAUGAGCCCGCGGCCUAUCAGCUUGUUGGUGGGGUAAUGGCCUACCAAGGCGGCGACGGGUAGCCGGACUGAGAGGUUGGUCGGCCACAUUGGGACUGAGAUACGGCCAAG